rnacentral:misc_RNA from 1 species
GAUGAAGAACGCAGCGAAAUGCGAUAAGUAAUGUGAAUUGCAGAAUUCAGUGAAUCAUCGAAUCUUUGAACGCAUCUUGCGCUCCUUGGUAUUCUGAGGAGCAUGCCUGUUUGAGUGUCAUUAAAUUCUCAACUACACUGACUUUGAAUUGGUGUGGCUUGGAUUUGGGGGGAAAAUUGUUGUGGGCUUUUUGUAUAGUCUGCUCCCCUGAAAUUGAUUAGCGGUACCUUUGUGUAACUGUCUACAGGUGUGAUAAUUAUCUACAUCUUAGACAUCUGCUGGAAUGCUGCUUUCUAAACCUUACUUGUAUUGACAAUCUUGACCUCAAAUCAGGUAGGACUACCCGCUGAACUUAAGCAUAUCAAUAAGCGGAGGA